CAGCGUUGAAAUACCGGUUCUCACACGAUCACCAAAGUUAAGCAACGUCGAACCUGGCCAGUACCUACAUGGGUGACCGCUUUGGAAUAUCAGGCGCUGUAAG